rnacentral:tRNA from 1 species
GGAAGCCCCGGGGCGGUUGCAGCCGCUCUGGGGCUUUUGCUUUCUGAGAGGCUCUUACGAGCGAUCCUCUCGCUCGGUUUCCC